AUUGAACGCUGGCGGCAUGCUUUAUACAUGCAAGUCGGACGAGUGGCGAACGGGCGAGUAAUAUAUUGGAACGUAGCGAACCAUGGGGGAUAACCAAUCGAAAGAUUGGCUACUGCCGCAUAAUAUUCUAGCGGCUAUCACCGGAUUAGCUAGUUGGUGGGGUAAAGGCCUACAAAGGAGACGAUCAGUAGCGGGGCUGAGAGGAGGAUCCGCCACACUGGGACUGAGACACGGCCCAGACUCCGACGGGAGGCAGCAGUAGGGAAUUUUGGGCAAUGGGCGCAAGCCUGAUCCAGCCAUGCCGCGUGUCUGAAGAAGGCCUUCGGAUUGUAAAGGACUUUUGUUAGGGAAGCGGUACCUAAAGAGUAAGCACCGGCUAACUACGUGCCAGCAGCCGCGGUAAUUC
rnacentral:rRNA from 1 species